AGUGAACGAUGGAGGGAGGAAGAAAAAAGGAAAGUCGAAAGGAAGGACAGUAAGAGCGGGGGGCUAAGGGUGGCGAGUGGCGGACGGGGGAGGAAUACAUCGGAAUCCACUUUUACGUGGGGGAAAACGGAGGGAAAGUUAUGCUACUACCGCAUAUGACCUACGGGUGAAAGCAGGGGAUCUUGGGACCUUGCGCGACUGAAUGAGCCGAUGUCGGAUUAGCUAGUUGGCGGGGUAAAGGCCCACCAAGGCAACGAUCCGUAGCUGGUCUGAGAGGGUGCUCAGCCACACUGGAACUGAGACACGGUCCAGACUCCUCAGGGAGGCAGCAGUGGGGAAUAUUGCACAAUGGGCGCAAGCCUGAUCCAGCCAUGCCGCGUGAGUGAAGAAGGCCUUCGGGUUGUAACUCCCUUUUGUUGGGAAAGAAAAGCAGCAGAUUUCUACCCCGCUGUUCUGACGGUACCCAAAGAGUAAGCACCGGCUCCCUUCGUG
rnacentral:rRNA from 1 species